rnacentral:ribozyme from 13 species
CACCAAAAGAAAUCUUCAUGACGAGAUAACAAAGAGAAAGAAAGAGGGUUCUCCUUCUUCUCUUUUCUCUUUUACAGUUCUUUCUCUUCCCUCUCUUUUUCUUUCUCUU